CAACUCUCAUCCUACAUCGUUGGAUCGAGAAAUGGACAUCCAAGAUUCGUUCACGUCACCAUAAGUUAAAAUUUAACUCGCAGAUUCACUCAUGAGUUAAAAUUUACUGGGAGUUAUGAUGACCUAGACGAAUCUCGGACGUCAAUUUCUCGAUCCAACGGUGUAGGAUGAGAGUUG
rnacentral:pre_miRNA from 1 species